CACGCCCGCGGCCGCAGCUGAUCCGCUGUACUAGAAGAAGCCUAAGAGUGGGAUUUCUGGGGAGUAGGAGCCUCGCACCUCUCGCAUCAUGGUGAGGAAGAACAGUAUCCCCAACGGCUCCAAUCUGAGGGGGACUGGGCAGAAAGACAUCUCAUCAGAACCCAGGAAACAAUGAGAAACUGUCUCAUGAAAGCCUCCAGGGAAGAUAAAAAGCUGUCUGCAAGCCAGGGGAGGGCUGUCACCAAAACCAUUCUUUGCACUCUGGUCUCAGACUUCACAGCCUCCAGACUGUGGAACAGAGAGCUGGGAACGGAGUGACACUCGCCACUGCCAUCCACGACUCAUCGUCCAGGACAGACAACAAAGCCCGAGAGUGCCGUCGUAUUGGGCCCCUAAUGAGGUCAGGGAUUUUGGCGCUGAGCAAGGAGAAAGAUAUGACCACAAGGUGGCAGUAGCACACAAGGAAUUUUCUUUGGAGGCUGAUUUGACAGGUUUGCAUGUGAGGAGGGUCCUCGCUACUUGAAACCUGCCAAAGGCAAAGGGCUGGGGGCUACUACCCAGAAGGGGAGGUGGGCUAGGGAACAAGAGGGCUAUUGAAGAGGAGGCUUCUGGGUCUAGGCGCUGUUGUUCCCCUGCACAGGCAGGGAGCCUCGGGUCAGAGAGCUCCAGCCCACAGCAGCAGUUUGGGGUCUUGUGGUGGUACAGGGUUUACCUAUGGCUGGCAGAUGCUGGCUGCAAUUUCUUGGGGUAUGCAAAGCAGGCAGGCUCUACUAGUUAAAAAUCUGCUUAUUGAGUCUAUAUUUUAAACAAUUGCAUGUGUAAAAAUUUGAGUUUGGCGCCAAUGGGCUUUUGAGCUAACGGAUCUCAGCCUGCUGUGAAGAAGUACACGCAUAUACAGAGGCCUUCUUUGGCUCAUUUAUAUACUAGUGCCCCAAAUGGGGAUCAUUUGGAGAUCCUUGGUGUUGGGGCAAAAGGCAGGCCACCCCAAAAUGUGCUUCAAUGGCGUAUUGAUUGUUUUGAAUUAACGUUAGUACCCAAGCCCAAACUUUGCAUUAAAUUCCUUACUAAUUAAGCACCCACAUCUAAGUUUUUUGUCCUGUCAAAU